rnacentral:rRNA from 1 species
GAUGAACGCUAGCGGCAGGCCUAAUACAUGCAAGUCGAACGGGAUUGAGGAGCUUGCUCCUCAUGAGAGUGGCGCACGGGUGCGUAACACGUAUGUAACCUACCUUAAUCAGGGGGAUAGCCUCUCGAAAGAGAGAUUAACACCGCAUAAAAUCACACUAUGGCAUCAUAGAAUGAUCAAAUAUUUAUAGGAUUAAGAUGGGCAUGCGGAACAUUAGCUAGUUGGUAAGGUAACGGCUUACCAAGGCUACGAUGUUUAGGGGAUCUGAGAGGAUGGCCCCCCACACUGGUACUGAGACACGGACCAGACUCCUACGGGAGGCAGCAGUAAGGAAUAUUGGUCAAUGGACGGAAGUCUGAACCAGCCAUGCCGCGUGCAGGAAGACGGCCCUACGGGUUGUAAACUGCUUUUGUACCGGAAUAAACCUCUUUACGUGUAAGGAGCUGAAUGCACGGUAAGAAUAAGGAUCGGCUAACUCCGUGCCAGCAGCCGCCGUAAGAC